rnacentral:lncRNA from 1 species
AGGAGCCGGCUACGAGGCGCAGAAGCAGGAGCCAGUGGGAAGAGGUAGGAGCGGACGGCGGCAAGGCGGAACUGGCGUGAUGGGCCUGGAAACGUGAUCCGUUUCUGAAUCGCGGUGGUUUCCAGGAUCGUAAAUCAAGUGGUGGAUGGAUUGACUGCUUGUUGGACAGUUGGAGUUGGAAUUUGCUUCAGUUUUUUGCAUCAACGUGAAUCCUAUUCUCCUUCUUUGAACGUGCAUGUGAUGGAUGGAUAUCUAGUCAUUUUCUCCUUCUC